CAUGGAGGGUGAGAAUCCCGUUCGGUUGACCUUAUGACGCUCUACGAUACGCUCUCUAAGAGUCGAGUUGUUUGGGAUUGCAGCUCAAAAUGGGAGGUAAAUUUCUCCUAAGGCUAAAUACCGGCGAGAGACCGAUAGCGAACAAGUACCGUGAGGGAAAGAUGAAAAGAAUUUUGAAAAGAAAGUCAAACAGUACGUGAAAUUGUUGAAAGGGAAACGAUUGAAGCCAGUCGUACCGACGGGAAUUCAACUUCUCGAGUGCUAAUCGUGGGUGACGUUGAGCCUCACGGCCUUCGUUGCUUGUGUUUUUGGUGCUUUUGGGGUGUACUUUUCCGUAUUGGUAGGUCAGCAUCGAUUUCGAUCGUCAUAAAAUGAUCGGGGGAAUGUAGCUUCGGUCUCGUAUCGGAGUGUUAUAGACCUUGGUAGAUGUGACGAUUGGGAUCGAGGAUUGCAACGAAUACCCUCUGGGCUAUCCGUCUGACCUCUGAAAGUCGCUCGGGUGUCGAAAGCGUGCUUAUGGCUAUUCGAGUUGGCGGUCAAUAGGUUAGAACGUGAUUAUAUUCGUUAAGGAUGUUGACGUAAUGG
rnacentral:rRNA from 1 species